UUUCCUGAAGUGGGAAAUUUACAGGUGUGCUACUAAAUUGGAUUAUUCAAAGGUACAGCAUGUUUUCAUUCUUUUGUUGACUCAAAGCAUAUAGUUUUUCUUCCCCAAAACACUUAAUCUAAAAGUUACCGCAUACAAGACAAAUACUAGUUUUGUACUUGCAGACCAGCAUGCCCUUAACUUGUCUAAGCUGGGCAGUUUACUUUCUCCUUAUAUGAAAUUAGUUCUGUCACUGUAAUCAGUCUUCUUGUGUUCCUCUAGUUCCGCUGUCUUUGAGAUGCAAGUGGAAAAAAAAAAGAAUCUAAUAUGCAGGAAGUACAGGUGUAAGUUGUAAAUCAGUAUUUCUCUUAGGAAUUAAACAGCUGUAAAUCACUUUUAUGGUAUUCAGUAAGGUCAAAAGAAAUCUGACAGAUUGUCUUUGGUGGGUCUGCCUUCAACAAGGAAAUAACUAGAAAAUUCAGCUUUUGGGUAAGUGUAUAAAGUUUUUUCCACUUGAAUUCAGGAAAAUUUUUGUGUUGUGAAUCAGUGUGAUGUAAGACAUUAUUUAAGAGGUUUACAUUGUAAAAGCACGCUCUAGACAUCACAGCCAUAUCUGCAAUAUUUGACAGACAGAAAAUGUCUUCUUUUCAGAAAAUGAAAAUUUACGCUACAAUCCAACAGCGUUUCUAGCUUCACUAGGAGUAAGAGGUGUUUCUACUAGAAUCAGAUUUCAUUUUGAUAGCAGCAAGAUUCAAGAGGCCGUUCUUGAGUGUGGAGUCAUGAUGUCAUCACUCAUUUUCCUUUUUAGGCUUUGCAUAGCACUCGACUGCAUUUGUAUAUGCUAUCCUGAUAGCUGUCCUGAUAAACUGGGCAGAGAUUAAAAUUUAGCCUGCUGAAACACAGUGAACAUUCAGAUUCAUAUCAAGUCUUUAAAGAAUUUAACUGAGAGCGGAGGGGUGGGGUAAAACCACUACAUGACAGCAUAAAACUAUGACACCAGUUAACAUACCAGUUUGCUUUCCCCCCAUUUGUGAUCCACAUUUUCUGACCAUUAAUAACAUAUUCAUCUCCUUUCUUCUCAGCCUUUGUCUUUAUACCAGCCACAUCGGAGCCUGCUCCAGGCUCUGUUACACAGUAAGCCUAAAAGAAAUCAAGAUGUGAAGUCUUGGGCAAUAAAAGUUCUAUCUUUAGUCAACUACAAAUUAAUGCAGAUUUAAGUGAACUGCAUGGUAAAAUCCAAACACCAAAUAAACAAAACCCCCCAAUAAAACCCCAAAACAACCCAACACAUAACCCCCUCUCCCCCAAACGGCUGGCUGAGUAAGGGUUAAUUUUCUAUAUAAAUCCAUAACAGUACACAAAAUUGCCUUUUAAACAGAAACAUUCUGUAACUCUUAAGUUAUCACUUCCUCAGGCUUCAAAAAUUCUCAUGGGAAAGCUGAGGAUCUUUAAAGUCUAAAAAUAAGAGCACUGAGUAACAUUUUAUGUUUACCAAGUCCUUCAUUUUAGGAGGCUCAGUUGUACAGAUUUACAUAUAUUGCACACAAAUCUUUACCUUCUUCUAUGUAACAAGUACUUUUUAUGUAGUAUUUAAGGUCACAAACAGAGUUUCAUUCCCAUCCAAGUUAAGGGUCUCCUUAUAUAAACCUUGUAUUUUUCUUAAAUGUCUAUAGCCCCUCUUGAAAGGCAAAUAAAAACUAUUAAUUUUUGAUAAGUGACUUAGGAUAGGGAUAUUUUUCCAAGUAGUAUCUUCUGUUUGCUUACUGCAUGUAUCUCAUUAGAUAUCUGCUAACUUUCAGUAAAUUUCACUGUUUAUAUACAAAUCAAAAAGGGCUAAGCUGUGAGUACAUGCAAGUGUUCAGGGAGGAAAAAUGGAAAAAAAAAGAGGAAGAAAAGAAAAAAGAAAAGGAAAAGGAAAGGAAAGAAAAGAAAAAAGAAAAGAAGAAAAAAGAAAAGGAGUAGUACUAUUAACAUGGUUUAGGAACUUUCUACAGUAUAGCAGUUACACUUACACACAUCAUUGGCUCCUCUGUCAUUCUUCCUAAGUAUUUUUUCUGCUGAUGCUCAUUUCCUGCAAUGAUAACUGGCAUUUGCUGAAAGGAAACAUUUAGAUCGUUAAUCUGGCUCUUUCAAGUGCAGAGAUUGUAGUUUAAGGGAUGUAAGAGAAGACAGAGCUUACCCCUAGGGAGUUUGCUUCAAUGGCCGUUUGAACCCCUGUACAUCCAUAAGCUAACUCUUCUGUAAUAAGGCACGCCUCAAAACUUCCAAGGCCAAGGCCACCUAUGGUUGAAGUAUUUAAUUUACUUGAGGGGAUUUAAAUUAUAACAUAUUAAUAUUAGUGAUUUACACAACAUAAUUAACAAAAAUGUGUUCUUCCACGUACAUGUGAUUGUGUACUGUGUUUGAUUAAGCAUUCUCAUGCGAGCUUUUUAAAUAAAUCCUCAUCAGAAGAGUAACAGGUGAUUUGAAAAUGACAUAUCAUGUGUCCAGAGUUAUUGUUUGAUCAGUGUGGGACAACUUGCACAAAGUGGCAAGAAUGUACCACUCACAUUUUUUUACUACUGUAUAUUCAAGAAUUAAGAGUUCCUAGGAAGCAGAGAAAGGGCUCCUGAGCCGAACUCAUUUGGGAACAAAAAAGUGUCCCUAUUAGCAAACAACGGAUGCAGAAAUCUGUUUCUGGCAGAAGACAACACUAUGGCCAACACUACAUACAAAUACAAUAACAACUACCUCAAAAAUAUUUGCCUGAACUCUCAGGUGACUUCCUCGGUCAAAGAAAUAAUUCUCUUUGCUGUCUUUGUUAUACCAACCCUCGACAGACAUCUGUUACAUGAAUUUGUCUGGUCUCUUUUUGAAUCUAUGUAAAAUUUUAGCACCUAUAUCCUACAGGGGCAGUAAGUUGCAAAUUAACUCCACACUGCAUACAGAACCAUCUCCUUUCACCUGUUUUGAAUCUAGCCUCUGCUGAUGUAAUUUGAUGCCUUCUAGUUAUACUGAAAGGGACAGUGAACCAUCAAUCCCUUUUCACACUCUCCCAUGACACUGACAUUUUAGUCACUUCUACAGAAUUUACAUCUCACACAGAAGAUAAAACUUUCAUAACCUUUGUCAUCCUUUUAGAAACCUUUUCCAUUUCCCCAAUACUCUCUUGAGAUGGAAGGAUCUGACCAUAUAACGAGUUAAAGAGGCAAGUGCAAUUUGGAUUCAGGCAGCACCAUAAUUAUGUCUUCUGCUUUUUUCUUCAUUCCCUUAAGGGUCCCUCUUGACCUUAGAUUUUACAGUUUUGACCACUUCUGAGCAUUAAGCUCAUGUUCACAGGAUCCAAAAAUGUCUUUUCUGAGAGGCAGUAUCUAGUGCACAGCAUACCAUUUCUCUGAAGUUCAGAUUGCUUCUUUCCCUUCACAUGCACAUAACUUUUUCUUUUUGGAAUCGCAUUGCCAUUUUAACUCUCACUCUGUUUCAUGACCUUCUCCUGCAGCUCUCUGAACCAGAUCAUCUUUUCUACACUGAAUAACUUAGUAUUAUCAGCAAAUUAGAUAGAUAUUAUAUAUCACCUUUGCAUUUACCCCCUUUUCCACUCUACAGACAUGCCAAAUAGCACAAGACCCAGCAAGGCUGUGCUGCUAAUUUUGCCAGUACGAAACCUGAUGAUUAUUCAAACUUAUUUUGGAAGUUCAAGCAUUCUCUAUCAACCAGCGAUCCCUUGUUCACACAUUUAUUAGCUACUUCAGAGAACACCAGUGAUUUUAUGAGGCAUGAGUUCCUUUCACUAAAACCCUUCUCUACCAUAUCAUGUUUGUCUGUAUUACUCAUACACCUUAUAAGCCAGGACUCUGCUGUAUUGCACUUAAUCUAAACUGAAAAACUGUCCUUCUGGGAUAAACUCCUAAAUUGCUCCAGCCUGUAUCAGAGACUAGAACAAAACAUGACCUUCUAAUUUCUCUGCCUAAUCAGCUGACACUGCACCAGGGGAACGUUAAGCAGCUGUAAUCACAGUAGAAAAAUCUGGUCAUAAAUUACUAAACCAUAAUCUGUCUAAUUUGUCUCCUGAUUACAUCCACACCUAGUAACACUUGUAUGUGUCAAUUUGCCUACUGAUUAAAUUUAGAUUAUUCAAGUAUGUGACUAUUUAUUCGGUACAGAAUCCAUAAUUACACAUAAGAAUCUCAUCUAAUGUCUUUUCGUUGUUUCAUUUUACAGAUUAAAAAGAAUGUUUACUUACCACAGCUUUCUGGUAUGUGUGAAUUCAUAAGACCAAGUUCCCAAGCCCGCUUUAUAAGUGGAACAGGAUACUGAAACAGACAUGGAAAAAUCACCUUCUCAUUCACCACAACCAAAACUUUAAAAUUUAUACAGGUUAAGAUAUUUUUUCCCCAAUUUCUCCCUUACACUAUGGUAGAUUUACCUCUCCAGUUCUAUCAUAUUGUGCAGCAACAGGAAUAAUUUCCUCCACAGCAAAUUUACGAGCAGUAGCUUGAAACUCCUUCUGUUCAUCAGUAAGUUCUAUUUUUAAAAAGGAAGAGAAAAAGACCAUAAAUUCUCUACUGUCUUUUAUUUUGCCAAUUGUCAAGACUAUGAUAAAAAAGUAAACAAGAGCAUCCUUCCAGGACAACCCAAACCACCACUGUGCGGGGCUCUCCAGGAAGCAAAAAAAGCUCAGUUUCCUCUUCCUCCUGGGAAAAAACCCUCCAUUGUUCUCUGAUCAACACCUACAAUGCACUUACUUACAUCUGAUGAAAUGAUCCACAAAAUAUUGAAGACAAAGUAGAGAGGACUGUGUAACAUAAAAUGUAUUACCAAAAGAAACAAGAAUGCUGUGCUAAUUAAAUGCAUAAAAAGACA